rnacentral:lncRNA from 1 species
GCCUUGCAGUACAUCUUAUAGGGAUAUGAUUUUAUUCUAACAAAUUAAUGACUGAUACACAUUUAAAAAAGCAGAGGAAUAUUUCCUAAAUUAAAAUGAAAUGAUGGGGAAUGAUUGCUAAGAAAAAUAUCCGUAUUUAACAGAACUACCAAUAUAGUAGCUCCUAGUCGAGCUCCUAGUUUAUAAUUGUUUAAUAAAAAAAAAUUUAAAAGGCCGACG